CCUACGGGAGGCAGCAGUGAGGAAUAUUGGUCAAUGGGCGCAAGCCUGAACCAGCCAAGUCGCGUGAAGGAUGACUGCCCUAUGGGUUGUAAACUUCUUUUAUAAAGGAAUAAAGUUAGGUACGUGUACCUUUUUGUCUGUACUUUAUGAAUAAGGAUCGGCUAACUCCGUGCCAGCAGCCGCGGUAAUACGGAGGAUCCGAGCGUUAUCCGGAUUUAUUGGGUUUAAAGGGAGCGUAGAUGGGUUGUUAAGUCAGUUGGGAAAGUUUGCGGCUCAAACGUAAAAUUGCAAUUGAUACUGGCAGACUUGAGUACAGUCGAGGUAGGCGGAAUACGUGGAGUAGCGGUGAAAUGCUUAGAUAUCACGAAGAACCCCGAUAGCGAAGGCAGCUUACUAAACUGCCACUGACAUUGAUGCUCGAAAGUGUGGGUAUCAAACAGGAUUAGAUACCCGUGUAGUC
rnacentral:rRNA from 1 species